GUCGGGAAUUUUGCUCAAUGGGCGAAAGCCUGAAGCAGCAACGCCGCGUGAGGGAUGAAGGCCUUCGGGUUGUAAACCUCUUUUCUCAGGGACGAUGAUGACGGUACCUGAGGAAUAAGCCACGGCUAACUACGUGCCAGCAGCCGCGGUAAUACGUAGGUGGCGAGCGUUGUCCGGAUUUACUGGGCGUAAAGAGCGCGCAGGCGGUCGGAUAAGUCGAAUGUGAAAGCCCCCGGCUCAACUGGGGAGGGUCAUUCGAUACUGCCCGACUCGAAGGCAGGAGAGGGAAGCGGAAUUCCCGGUGUAGUGGUGAAAUGCGUAGAUAUCGGGAGGAACACCAGUGGCGAAGGCGGCUUUCUGGCCUGUUCUUGACGCUGAGGCGCGAAAGCUAGGGGAGCGAACGGGAUUAGAAACCCCAGUAGUCC
rnacentral:rRNA from 1 species